rnacentral:lncRNA from 1 species
CGGAGAGCAGAGAGGGAGCGCGCCUUGGCUCGCUGGCCUUGGCUGCGGCUCCUCGGGAGAGCUGGGGCGCCCACGAGAGGAUCCCUCACCUGGGUCUCUCCUCAGGGAUGACAUCAUCCGUCCACCUCCUUGUCUUCAAGGACCACCUCCUCUCCAUGCUGAGCUGCUGCCAAGGGGCCUGCUGCCCAUCUACACCUCACGAGGGCACUAGGAGCACGGAUUCCUGGAUCCCACCAACAUACAAAGCAGCCACUCACUGACCCCCAGGACCAGGAUGGCAAAGGAUGAAGAGGACCGGAACUGACCAGCCAGCUGUCCCUCUUACCUAAAGACUUAAACCAAUGCCCUAGUGAGGGGGCAUUGGGCAUUAAGCCCUGACCUUUGCUAUGCUCAUACUUUGACUCUAUGAGUACUUUCCUAUAAGUCUUUGCUUGUGUUCACCUGCUAGCAAACUGGAGUGUUUCCCUCCCCAAGGGGGUGUCAGUCUUUGUCGACUGACUCUGUCAUCACCCUUAUGAUGUCCUGAAUGGAAGGAUCCCUUUGGGAAAUUCUCAGGAGGGGGACCUGGGCCAAGGGCUUGGCCAGCAUCCUGCUGGCAACUCCAAGGCCCUGGGUGGGCUUCUGGAAUGAGCAUGCUACUGAAUCACCAAAGGCACGCCCCACCUCUCUGAAGAUCUUCCUAUCCUUUUCUGGGGAAUGGGGUCGAUGAGAGCAACCUCCUAGGGUUGUUGUGAGAAUUAAAUGAGAUAAAAGAGGCCUCAGGCAGGAUCUGGCAUAGAGGAGGUGAUCAGCAAAUGUUUGUUGAAAAGGUUUGACAGGUCAGUCCCUUCCCACCCCUCUUGCUUGUCUUACUUGUCUUAUUUAUUCUCCAACAGCACUCCAGGCAGCCCUUGUCCACGGGCUCUCCUUGCAUCAGCCAAGCUUCUUGAAAGGCCUGUCUACACUUGCUGUCUUCCUUCCUCACCUCCAAUUUCCUCUUCAACCCACUGCUUCCUGACUCGCUCUACUCCGUGGAAGCACGCUCACAAAGGGCUAAUCUCGGGCCUUGUUGAAGGAAGAGGCUGCAGACGUUAAUGAGGUUAGCUGCUGGAUUCCAGUAUUCGUCGCAUAAGGAUCCUUCUUUGUCUGCGAAGGAAAAACACACUGAUUAUCAUAAUGAGGCACGUGGGCCGUGGCCCGGCUGGGUCGGCUGAAGAACUGCGGAUGGAAGCUGCGGAAGAGGCCCUGAUGGGGCCCACCAUCCCGGACCCAAGUCUUCUUCCUGGCGGGCCUCUCGUCUCCUUCCUGGUUUGGGCGGAAGCCAUCACCUGGAUGCCUACGUGGGAAGGGACCUCGAAUGUGGGACCCCAGCCCCUCUCCAGCUCGAAAUCCCUCCACAGCCACGGGGACGCCCUGCACCUAUUCCCACGGGACAGGCUGGACCCAGAGACUCUGGACCCGGGGCCUCCCCUUGAGUAGAGACCCGCCCUCUGACUGAUGGACGCCGCUGACCUGGGGUCAGACCCGUGGGCUGGACCCCUGCCCACCCCGCAGGAACCCUGAGGCCUAGGGGAGCUGUUGAGCCUUCGGUGUCUGCAUGUGGGAAGUGGGCUCCUUCACCUACCUCACAGGGCUGUUGUGAGGGGCGCUGUGAUGCGGUUCCAAAGCACAGGGCUUGGCGCACCCCACUGUGCUCUCAAUAAAUGUGU